rnacentral:rRNA from 1 species
UGGUGACCAUAGCAUUGUGGACCCACCUGAUUCCAUGCCGAACUCAGAAGUGAAACACAAUAGCGCCGAUGGUAGUGUGGGGCUUCCCCAUGUGAGAGUAGGACAUCGCCAGGCU